rnacentral:tRNA from 1 species
CCCUGGGUGGCACAAAUGGUUUGCCCUCGGCUACUACCUGAAAGGUUGGUGGUUCAAAUCCACCCCGAGGUG